rnacentral:rRNA from 1 species
CUUCGGGGGCGGAUCAGUGGCGAACGGGUGAGUAACACGUGGGCAAUCUGCCCCUCACUGUGGGAUAACUCCGGGAAACCGGGGCUAAUACCGCAUAUGAAGCCUGGCGGCAUCGCCGGGUUUGGAAAGUUUUUCGGUGAGGGAUGAGCCCGCGGCCUAUCAGCUUGUUGGUGAGGUAAUGGCUCACCAAGGCGACGACGGGUAGCCGGCCUGAGAGGGCGACCGGCCACACUGGGACUGAGACACGGCCCAGACUCCUACGGGAGGCAGCAGUGGGGAAUAUUGGGCAAUGGGCGAAAGCCUGACCCAGCGACGCCGCGUGCGGGAUGAAGGCCUUCGGGUUGUAAACCGCUUUCAGCAGGGAAGAAGCGAAAGUGACGGUACCUGCAGAAGAAGCACCGGCUAACUACGUGCCAGCAGCCGCGGUAAUACGUAGGGUGCAAGCGUUGUCCGGAAUUAUUGGGCGUAAAGAGCUCGUAGGCGGUUUGCUACGUCGGAUGUGAAACCCUGAGGCUCAACCUCAGGCCUGCAUACGAUACGGGCUAACUAGAGUGUGGUAGGGGAGACUGGAAUUCCUGGUGUAGCGGUGAAAUGCGCAGAUAUCAGGAGGAACACCGGUGGCGAAGGCGGGUCUCUGGGCCAUUACUGACGC